rnacentral:rRNA from 1 species
GAUGAACGCUGGCGGCGUGCCUAAUACAUGCAAGUCGAGCGAACGGACGAGAAGCUUGCUUCUCUGAUGUUAGCGGCGGACGGGUGAGUAACACGUGGAUAACCUACCUAUAAGACUGGGAUAACUUCGGGAAACCGGAGCUAAUACCGGAUAAUAUUUUGAACCGCAUGGUUCAAAAGUGAAAGACGGUCUUGCUGUCACUUAUAGAUGGAUCCGCGCUGCAUUAGCUAGUUGGUAAGGUAACGGCUUACCAAGGCAACGAUGCAUAGCCGACCUGAGAGGGUGAUCGGCCACACUGGAACUGAGACACGGCCCAGAGUCCUACGGGAGGCAGCAGUAGGGAAUCUUCCGCAAUGGGCGAAAGCCUGACGGAGCAACGCCGCGUGAGUGAUGAAGGUCUUCGGAUCGUAAAACUCUGUUAUUAGGGAAGAACAUAUGUGUAAGUAACUGUGCACAUCUUGACGGUACCUAAUCAGAAAGCCACGGCUAACUACGUG